rnacentral:rRNA from 1 species
CCUACGGGAGGCAGCAGUGGGGAAUAUUGGGCAAUGGACGAAAGUCUGACCCAGCGACGCCGCGUGCGGGAUGAAGGCCUUCGGGUUGUAAACCGCUUUCAGCAGGGAAGAAGCGAAAGUGACGGUACCUGCAGAAGAAGCACCGGCUAACUAUGUGCCAGCAGCCGCGGUAAUACAUAGGGUGCAAGCGUUGUCCGGAAUUAUUGGGCGUAAAGAGCUCGUAGGUGGUUUGUCACGUCGGAUGUGAAAAUCUGGGGGUUAACCCCCGACCUGCGGUCUAUAC